rnacentral:rRNA from 1 species
AUUGAACGCUGGCGGCAGGCUUAACACAUGCAAGUCGAGCGGAGAUGAGGUGCUUGCACCUUAUCUUAGCGGCGGACGGGUGAGUAAUGCUUAGGAAUCUGCCUAUUAGUGGGGGACAACAUUCCGAAAGGAAUGCUAAUACCGCAUACGCCCUACGGGGGAAAGCAGGGGAUCUUCGGACCUUGCGCUAAUAGAUGAGCCUAAGUCGGAUUAGCUAGUUGGUGGGGUAAAGGCCUACCAAGGCGACGAUCUGUAGCGGGUCUGAGAGGAUGAUCCGCCACACAGGGACUGGGACACGGCCCAGACUCCUACGGGAGGCAGCAGUGGGGAAUAUUGGACAAUGGGCGGAAGCCUGAUCCAGCCAUGCCGCGUGUGUGAAGAAGGCCUUUUGGUUGUAAAGCACUUGAAGCGAGGAGGAGGCUACCUGGAUUAAUACUCUAGGAUAGUGGACGUUACUCGCAGAAUAAGCACCGGCUAACUCUGUGCCAGCCGCCGCCGUAAGAC